rnacentral:rRNA from 1 species
UACGGGGGGAGCAAGCGUUGUUCGGAUUUACUGGGCGUAAAGGGCGCGUAGGCGGUCGUGACAAGUCACUUGUGAAAUCUCCGGGCUUAACUCGGAACGGUCAAGUGAUACUGUCGGACUAGAGUACAGAAGGGGCAACUGGAAUUCUCGGUGUAGCGGUGAAAUGCGUAGAUAUCGAGAGGAACACCUGCGGCGAAGGCAGCUCGCUGGGACGGUAUUGACGCUGAGACGCGAAAGCGUGGGGAGCAAACAGG